rnacentral:rRNA from 1 species
UUAAGUCUGAUGUGAAAACCUUCGGCUUAACCGGAGUAGUGCAUUGGAAACUGGUUGACUUGAGUGCAGAAGAGUGAAGUGGAAUUCCAUGUGUAGCGGUGAAAUGCGUAGAUAUAUGGAGGAACACCAGUGGCGAAAGCGGCUCUCUGGUCUGUAACUGACGCUGAGGUUCGAAAGCGUGGGUAGCAA